rnacentral:rRNA from 1 species
UACGUAGGCAGCGAGCGUUGUUCGGAGUUACUGGGCGUAAAGGGUGUGUAGGCGGUUGUUUAAGUUUGGUGUGAAAUCUCCCGGCUCAACUGGGAGGGUGCGCCGAAUACUGAAUGACUCGAGUGUGGGAGAGGUGAGUGGAAUUCCUGGUGUAGCGGUGAAAUGCGUAGAUAUCAGGAGGAACACCGGUGGUGUAGACGGCUCACUGGACCAUAACUGACGCUGAGACACGAAAGCGUGGGUAGCAAACAGG